rnacentral:rRNA from 1 species
AGAGUUUGAUCAUGGCUCAGGAUGAACGCUAGCUGGAGGCUUAAUACAUGCAAGUCGAGCGGGAUUUGGGCAGCAAUGUCUGAUGAGAGCGGCGAACGGGUGAGUAACGCGUACACGACCUACCUUUGACUGGGGGAUAGCCCUGGGAAACUGGGAUUAAUACCGCAUAUUAUUCUGAUUAACAAAGGAUUGGAAUGAAAGUUCAGGCGGUCAGAGAUGGGUGUGCGUCUGAUUAGCUAGUUGGUAGGGUAACGGCCUACCAAGGCGAUGAUCAGUAGGGGGCGUGAGAGCGUGGUCCCCCACACGGGUACUGAGACACGGACCCGACUCCUACGGGAGGCAGCAGUAAGGAAUAUUGGACAAUGGCCGCAAGGCUGAUCCAGCCAUCCAGCGUGCAGGAAGAAGGCCCUAUGGGUUGUAAACUGCUUUUAUCAGGGAAGAAACCUCUGGAUUUACUCCGGAGCUGACGGUACCUGAAGAAUAAGCGCCGGCUAACUCCGUGCCAGCAGCCGCGGUAAUACGGAGGGUGCAAGCGUUAUCCGGAAUUACUGGGUUUAAAGGGUGCGUAGGCGGUUAUGUAAGUCAGGAGUGAAAGUUUGCGGCUCAACCGUAAAAUUGCUUUUGAUACUGCAUGGCUGGAAUUAGGAUGAGGUCAGCGGAAUGUGGCAUGUAGCGGUGAAAUGCAUAGAUAUGCCAUAGAACACCAAUUGCGAAGGC